UGCCCAAGAGCUAGCCCCCCCCCCCNAAAAAGCAACAAACCACUAUUUAUAACCCCAAAUACACAAAUGUUUUUAUUAAACAAAUCAUUUUUCCCCCUUAGUAUGGGCGACAGAAAAGGGACUCUGGCGCGAUAGAGAAAGUACCGCAAGGGAACGCUGAAAGAGAAAUGAAACAACUCAGUAAAGCCUAAAAAAGCAGAGAUUUUAACUCGUACCUUUUGCAUCAUGAUUUAACUAGAAAACCCCAAGCAAAGCGCGCUUUAGUUUGAUACCCCGAAACUAAGUGAGCUACUCCAAGACAGCCUAUUAAUAGGGCACACCCGUCUCUGUUGCAAAAGAGUGGGAAGAGCUUUGAGUAGAGGUGACAGACCUACCGAACUUAGUUAUAGCUGGUUGCCUGAGAACUGGAUAGAAGUUCAGCCUCCCGGCUUCUUUCUUCACCCCUCGUCUUUACCCCUCCUGACGCCCAAAGAAACCGCGAGAGUUAGUCAAAGGGGGUACAGCCCCUUUGAAAUAAGAUACAACUUUACCAGGUGGGUAAAGAUCAUAAUAAAAUAAGGUAAAAUGUUCCGGUGGGCCUAAAAGCAGCCAUCCCCAUAGAAAGCGUCAAAGCUCCAACAUACUCCUUACCUCACAUCCCGAUGAUCCAAUCUUAACCCCCUAAUCCUACCAGGCCGCCCCAUGCAUACAUGGGGGUGACCAUGUUAAUAUGAGUAAUAAGAGAGCAUCCGCCUCUCUCCUUGCACACGUGUAAAUCGGAACGGACCCCCCACCGAACCUUAACGGCCCCAAACAAAGAGGGUACUGAACAACAAACGCAACAACCAGAAAAACAUCCAAUAUCUGACCGUUAACCCCACACAGGUGUGCCCCCCGGGAAAGACUAAAAGAAAGAGAAGGAACUCGGCAAACACAUGAAGCCUCGCCUGUUUACCAAAAACAUCGCCUCUUGCAAAACAACAUAUAAGAGGUCCCGCCUGCCCUGUGAUAAUAAAUUUAACGGCCGCGGUAUUUUGACCGUGCGAAGGUAGCGAAAUCACUUGUCUUUUAAAUGAAGACCUGUAUGAAUGGCAUGACGAGGGCUUGACUGUCUCCUUUUUCAAGUCAAUGAAAUUGAUCUCCCCGUGCAGAAGCGGGGAUGAGAACAUAAGACGAGAAGACCCUAUGGAGCUUUAGACGCCAGAAUAGACCAUGUUAAACACCCCAAGAAAAAGGGCCAAACCAAAUGAGACCUAUUCCAAUGUCUUUGGUUGGGGCGACCGCGGGGAAACAAAAAACCCCCACGUGGAAUGGGAGUACUACUCCUAGAACUAAGAGCUCCCGCUCUAGUAAACAGAAUUUCUGACCAACAAGAUCCGGCAACGCCGAUCAACGAACCGAGUUACCCUAGGGAUAACAGCGCAAUCCCCUUUUAGAGCCCAUAUCGACAAGGGGGUUUACGACCUCGAUGUUGGAUCAGGACAUCCUAAUGGUGCAGCCGCUAUUAAGGGUUCGUUUGUUCAACGAUUAAAGUCCUACGUGAUCUGAGUUCAGACCGGAGUAAUCCAGGUCAGUUUCUAUCUAUGACAUGAUCUUUCCUAGUACGAAAGGACCGGAAAGAGGGGGCCUAUGCUUAAGGCACGCCUCACCCUCACCUACUGAAAGCAACUAAAAUAGGCCAAGGGGCAUACUCACCUGCCUGAGAAAAUGGCAU
rnacentral:rRNA from 1 species